rnacentral:misc_RNA from 1 species
AUGCCUGAAGGAUCAGAUGCAUCUUGGACUCAAAAACUAUGUACCAAUUUAGGUGGAAUGGAUUUUACAAUUAAACAUUUCGCUGGUGAUGUCAAAUAUUCUUCAGACGGAUUUUUGGACAAAAAUAAAGAUACAGUUUUUGAAGAUCAAGUGUGUAUUUACAGUAUAAUUUUAUUUAAUAUUGUAUCCAAACAUUUUUCAUUUUAUAAUAUAUAUUUAUUUUAG